rnacentral:lncRNA from 8 species
AUGUGAAGAGCUGGAGCUGGGACUAGGAGCCGCAGUAGAAAACGCCCGUAGGUAGAAGAGCACCGAACUAGGAUUAUCUGGGUGGAAAACGCCCGUAGGUAGAAGAGCACCGAACAAGGAUUAUCUGGGUGGAAAACGCCCGUAGGUAGAAGAAUACCGAACAAGGAUUAUCUGGGUGGAAAACGCCCGUAGGUAGAAGAAUACCGAACAAGGAUUAUCUGGGUGGAAAACGCCCGUAGGUAGAAGAGCGCCGAACAAGGAUUAUCUGGGUGGAAAACGCCCGUAGGUAGAAGAAUACCGAACAAGGAUUAUCUGGUGGAAAACGCCCGUAGGUAGAAGAAUACCGAACAAGGAUUAUCUGGUGGAAAACGCCCGUAGGUAGAAGAAUACCGAACAAGGAUUAUCUGGGUGGAAAACGCCCGUAGGUAGAAGAGCGCCGAACAAGGAUUAUCUGGGUGGAAAACGCCCGUAGGUAGAAGAGCGCCGAACAAGGAUUAUCUGGGUGGAAAACGCUGACCUGCGAGUUGGGGAUCUUUGUGUGUGAGGAUGUCAGUGUUUUCGCCUCGCUGACCGCGAUGUGCUUCUCUAGGUAGCCCCGGGGCAGCGUUCCUACUCUCUGAAAUCGCCGCCUCCUCUUCCCCUGUCCCUCCCCCUCCCCCUAUCCUUCCUCCUCUCCCCCUAUCCCUCCCCCCAUCUCAUUUAGUCCCACCAACCACCAGCUGCUCCAUGGAUCCCCUGUGUCCGAGUAAUGGUGUGAGCCGGACACAGGCCCGCACCUCCGGCCAACUGUAGCCCCCCACCCCAGCCCUCCUUGGUCCCAUUACUUUUAUAUUUUUUGUACUGGCAUAUUUUUUCUCACUAUCCCUGGAGUUUAUUCUUGUUUGGAACCAGGGAUGGAUGUACCAUCGGAGGCCAGCAAGCAUGGCAAGAAGACGACCAGUCAAAAGCUGGAAGACCAGAAGAAGACCAGAGCAAAUUAAUUGCAGUCGGCAUCAGAAGUCAGAAGAUAAAACACAACGUUUCAGCAUUAAAUUAUCUGAUACUUAUCUUAUAGCUAAACCUGUGAAAAGUAUGUUGGAUGUAAACAUGUUUUUAAAAAUUCAUAUUAAUGUAAAAAUGUUGACAGUCCCUAAACUAUGUCCAGAAUGUAGGUCCAUAUAUCCAGUAUUCUGAAUGUUUACUUCUCCUGGGGUUAUGGAUUCACAUUAAAAUAUCAGCAUGAAGUCUGUGUGAGAGAGAAUACGUCAUGAGAAGCUACCAGUCAGCAUUAGGUAAGUGGUUUGUCUCCUUUAGGAAAUCCC